GGAUUAGUACGUUGGCCGUGCCUUCGGUAUGUACUGGUGUUACUGAUUCCUCCCCUCUGACGAACCAUCAUGUCAUUAAUUUGGUGUGAUGGGGAAUCAGGACUGUUACUUUGAAAAAAUUAGAGUGUUUAAAGCAGGCAUACGCUUGAAUACAUUAGCAUGGAAUAAUGAAAUAGGACGUUUGAUCUUAUUUUGUUGGUUUCUAGGAUCUACGUA
rnacentral:rRNA from 1 species